UGGACUUGCCUGGGGACAACAUCCCAAAGGAUGGCAUCUUGAACUUGGGCAUUUUGAACUUGCUGUCUUUGGCAGUCACGUCCUUGUCAGCCAGGGACAGGUCCCCCUCCAGCUGUGCACUAUCCAGUUUGGCUCUUGGGGCCUGGACGUCCACCUCCACGCUGGGCAGAGACACCUCCACAUCAGGGGCUGUGACUUCCGCCUUGGAGACUUUUAGGUCCAGCUUGGGGCCCUUGAUGUCCACCUGGGGGCCCUUGAGGUCCACUUUGGGCAUCUUCAAACUGGGCAUCUCCACCUUGGGCAGGUGCCCUUUGAGGCCAGCUCCCUCGGGCACGUGGCCCUCCGGGAGCUUCA
rnacentral:lncRNA from 1 species